AUUUGGUUUGGAAAUCUUUAAUCGUACCGUUGGCCAUGAGUAUUUGAUAAUGGCAGCAGCGGAAUUGGAGAGACAAAACAGAGGAGGUGAUGAGAGGCAGAGCAGAGGCGGUGAUAGCGAAGGUACAGGAGAUACAUAGCAGAGGUGGUGAUAGCUGAGUCACGGGAGAAGCAGGGGAGAGGAAGAAUUGCUUCUUCCAGGCAACGGAUUGGACCUGCUACAUGGAGGGCAUCUAUCUCAUGGAUUUGUGAAGGAAGAUUGUUUCAAACCAAGCUGAGAGGAUUGGACCCGCUACAUGGAGGACAUCUAUCUCAUGGAUUUGCGAAGGAAGAUUAUUUCAAACCAGACUGAGAGUUUGCAGCUUCUACUAUACCCAUAUUUUCUUAAUUGCCUCCUUUUGCUCAAUUUGGUUUUCAAAUAUUGUGGCUCGGUACAAUUUUUUUUUAAUGAAAAAAAUGAAUCAAUUAUACAAACCUAGUACAAAAAGUCAUUAAAACAGUGCAGAAAAAUAGUCUAGGAAAAUAGAGUGAUAUGUUUUAAUAUUCAGUAAUUGGAUUGUUAAUAUUUGGCCAUUA